AGCAAAACCACUGAGUUACUCAUCACAAGUGAUGACCGACAUCCCAUCUGCAAUGCAAAUGUGUGGGGAUAACUAUGGAAAAAGAGCUUUUUCACAGCUUCAUGAGCAAGUUAAGAAGCAACUGAACAACUGGAGACACACACAAACAGAAGGCAUGGGCAGCAGCCAGGACAGCAUCUCCAGGCACUCCAUAUGUGGACUUUCUGUUGCCUACAGCAAAUAAACUUUUGAAGCCAGCAGUGGUAGGAAAGCUGACAGAAUGAAUUAAAAAGUGGCAGCAGGGAGCCAAAUACUGCAGUAACAGAGGUUACAGGGAACUCCCUGAACUCUGGGCAGGACAGGCAGUGAGAGGGUUGCCAGUGACAGAGAAAAGCAGCAGAGGACAGGAUGGGUACACACAAGGAACCUUCAAGGUCAGGAGAGGCAGAAGUAGCAGACAACUGUAAUUACUAUAACUGCAGUUUUUAGGAGGCCAUGGAGAAACAGUUUCCCUUGAGGGAUGACAGAAAUACAAAUUCCUGCAUGGAAGUAGGUGUAGAACAGCAGACGGCCAUGAACAUGUGGGGAUCAUUUCCUGGAAGCAUUCAGGAGCUGUCAAAGAAGCUGCCAGAUUUCUCUUUUCAGAACAGAAAUCUCUAGAGAGUGAAUGACAAGAGGACAUCAGGCUCCAACUGGACAAAAUGCAAGCAAGCCAAAUUUGCCUAGAAAUUCCUGAAAUCCCAUGUUUAGGGCUGGCAGAGGGAGCUGACAUCCUGCGUUCUGCCGCGAUGUUUCGCCUCGCGCUGCAAACAUUUCACCUGGGUCUGCUGAAGCACAUGGCAAGGAGCAUAUUUUCUCUGCUGACUUUAAAAGGAAUCUACUUUCAACCCAGGAAUCUUAAUUCUUGGAUAGCUUUAGUGAGGCAGAUGAAUCCCACUCAGUGGUCACCAGGGGACAAUCCAGCUGUCUAGACAAGAGCUCUGUGCGAUUUCAGAUACCUCAGGCAUCACACCUGGCUGCACCCAUGGAUGCCUUGUUACAUCUGCCAGCUGCACGCAAUGCCUCUGAAAAUAUAAAACAUCUAGCUAUGUUUCAUCAGGAAAACUGCUUUAUGAAAAUGUUUUAUGGACUCAUCAAGACACUGGAU
rnacentral:lncRNA from 1 species